CCCUGGGCUCACUCCUCUAUAAAGGCCCCUGGGCUCACUCCUCUAUAAAGGCCCCUGGGCUCACUCCUCUAUAAAGGCCCCUGGGCUGGCGGAUGUCCCGAUUACAGCACUAUUCCCUACAUAGUGUAUUAUUCCGUGGGGCGUAUUGGUCAGAAGUUGUGUAUUAGCUAGGGUUAUGCCCUUUUGAGGAAGCUGGCUGAACCAGUCUCCAUGCCAGACCACAGGGGUCCUCAUGGAGGACAUAUGACCUCUCAGAGCAGUGCAGGCUGGGGUUGGGGCAGGAAGGACACGCUGUUUGUACUGUCAUUUUCCAACAUCGUUGCUACGUAUGCACGACUACAAGAGGCAUUCUUCCAAAAGCUACCUAUGUGGCUUUGAUCUGUUGGAUGGGAUUAGAUCUAGCUGCUUUUUUAGGGGUGGGGCAACAAUACACAGGCUGAGGGCCCCCUGUCGUGAGCUGUCACGUGGCGCCUGGUGACAGUUUACUCAUCAUCAGAGUCUCACUCUGCUUGAGUCCACUGAGGGAGAAGUGGAGCUCCAGAAGUCUGGCAGAUUGAGGAAGCAGCAGGGCGAAUGGCAGUCGAGGACUCCCAGUGAUUUUUCAGACAGUGGUGCACUCCACAAUCUUUUUCAGUAUUUCCAUGUCCUUCAGAAUUCCCGGUUUGGAAAAAUACACACAAUCACAUAAAUCCGGGAUUCCUCCAACUGGGAUUUCUGGAAAACAUUGGAUGUUUGGGAAAGUUAUGUAGUGUAGUAACCCUCAAGCUGUGUGACGGAUUUUGGAACCGGAGGGAGCGCUCUGGGAGUUGAUUCAUAUUUAUAAUUUAGAACUGAAAUCCAGAGGAGAAGGGUGGCCAUGUUUGUUCCUGGAUGGAUUUUGACCAGCUGGUUAAGAGACCCACACCAGAUCAUCUUGUGUUUUCACUGUGUUGACAGUGCCGCGUGUGAUAUGGGGAGUGGUGGCGUUUCACCGCCUUGUGGUCUCAACCGGCUUCAAACUGUGCUGUCAGCCCUGCACUCCAGUCUGUUUGUGCUGACAUGUCCACCCCUUGUCAUUCCAUUGGUUUUCACAGCCGUGGAUGUUUGACCUGGCUACUGUGUUGGGAUAGUGGUGUCCAAAGGCAUCUCAAGCCACCAGCAACAAAAUGGGUUACCAACCAUAUGUACCCAUAACAUCAAAAUCAAUGCCCAGUUUUUAAUUUAAUGGUCUUAUUUGUAUUCACUGCUUAGGCCAUUCUGGCCGACCUACAACCUUUGACCUUUCAGUAUGGAAUGAGUAUGUAUUAGGAUUAGGGGUCUAAAACUCCGUAAACAGCCAGUGCGGUCUUCAUUCUAACCAUGGGUUUUACACAAAGCUAAACUACAAAAUAAAUGAACGUCAAAAACUGAAGAGCUGAGUGAAAUUGUACCUCUACAGGUCUGGAAGAAAAAAAUUAAAUAAAAAAAAUAUUAAACCUGAGUUUGUAUUUUUCUGUUGUCUUGAUGUCUGUGUCCCUAAUGUCACCCUAUUCCCUCCA
ensembl:lncRNA